CCGCCGUGAGACACCGUGUGCGCCGCUCGAACUGCUCCUCACCGCGGUGCUGGGUGCUGCUGUUAAACACUCACUCCUGUUUGCUGUUUCUCUCGUGGUUUAUUUGUAUUUUAAAAGCAGUCAGGAUGCGGUUCCCCCCCCCCCCCCCCCUUCUGACGAGUGGGAAGCAAAGCCGAUGGCUCGUGUCUAAGAGCUAAAGGAAAACAGCCACGCCAGUUGUUCCAAAUGCGUCCAACAGCAAAAGGGACCAUUCGGAGUCUGAAUGAAACCAGAAAUUCCAUAUUUCAACAAAAGAUGAUGAGAAAGAAAAACCUCCUGGAAGCUAACUGUUGGAUAUGGGAUGAUGGGGACCAAGAUAAUUGAAUCAACAGAAAAAGUGAAGUUAUCAUCUGGAAAGGCAAGAGCUGAGCUGGUGUAGCAAUAGAUGAUCCUUGUAAAGAAACAGUUCCAAAAUCCAGAAGAAUCCCACAGCACUACACAGUAAAUUCAAGCCAAACAACAUUUGGCUUUGCUCUGCUGAAGCACACAACUACAAGUGUUUUGUUUCCAAGUUGUAAAGUCUAUCCCUAGCCCUCUGGUGAGAAAGAACAGUCAGAUUAUAAACUCAGGACUGUUUCACAUCAUCAGAUCCCAUUUGUAUAUUCCACUGAGCUCCCAAUAGAAAGUAAUAAACACACUGAUAACCUACUUAAACCUCCAUCUAGCCUUUGCCAAACUAUCAAAGUAUCUAUGAAAAUAAAAAGAAAUCCCCAGCCAUGCUCAGUAACCACAACUAUUGCCUGCUGAACCUCUCAGGUGUGCACUUCCUGCUCCAUGCUCAGGGAGAGGUGGAACCUGUGUCAACACUAUAUCUGUACAUCCCCAGUCCCACCCCAUGUUCCCAGGAGGCCACAGCAAGUGACUUGUAGGUGAGAAGGUGGCUGUAAAACAAGUUGACAUAUUUAGGAGGAAAUGAAUACACCACACCCACAUACAAAAUGUUACACUUUUGUUUGAUUGUUUGUUUUGAAAGACUGUUUUCUACUAAAAAUUUUUAAUUGUAAAUAGUCUUUUUUUAAUGGCAUGCCAGUGGAAGGAAUUUGUCUCCUAACUUUUAGAAUCGCAUUUGUGUAAGUAUAAUGAUGAGAGAACUAAAUCUCUGACUGUACAGUUAUGUCAGAAUGCAUCUUACCCAUGUAAACUGUGUAAAGAAAAGUUGAACAUUUCUUGCUCUUGCUGCAUUUGAGCAACAAUUUUAUUAACUCAGCCCAACCCUUCCUCCUUUAGGAGGCACAAAGAGGGGCUGUUAAAACAGUGCAGCUAAGAGUGAAGAAAAAUAAUUACAUCAUGUGAUGAUGGAAUCUUGAUACCACUGACAUUUGAAUAGAAAAUUUCUACUUUCAUAGAAAGGUUAUGAUGGAACAUCCAAUCUCAUGUCCUUUUUUUCCCCUACAAAAAUAUCUGGAUUUGUAUUUGAUAUUCCUUAAUAUUUCCUUUUCUCUUUUAUAAAUUUUUACUUUUAUAUGUGCAUGUCUAUGUAUAGAAACAAAAACCUGUUCUGGUUCUCAAAUAAAACCACUUAAGAUUCAGUUUUAAAAAGAAGGAAUUUAGAAAAUAUUUAUUAUACUGUA